GUGGAAGAUACUCCUGAGGUGGAAGAUACUCCUGAGGUGGAAGAUGCUCCUGAGGUGGAAGAUGCUCCUGAGGUGGAAGAUGCUCCUGAGGUGGAAGAUGCUCCUGAAGUGGAAGAUACUCCUGAGGUGGAAGAUACUCCUGAGGUGGAAGAUACUCCCGAGGUCAAAAAAACUCCUGAGGUGGAAG